rnacentral:tRNA from 1 species
GCCUGGGUGGCUCAGUCGGUUGAGCGUCUGACUUCGGCUCAGGUUAUGAUCUCGCGGUCCGUGAGUUCCAGCCCCGCGUCGGGCU